UACGAAGGGGGCUAGCGUUGUUCGGAAUCACUGGGCGUAAAGGGCGCGUAGGCGGGUUUCUAAGUCGGGGGUGAAAGCCUGUGGCUCAACCACAGAAUUGCCUUCGAUACUGGCAACCUUGAGACCGGAAGAGGUCAGUGGAACUGCGAGUGUAGAGGUGAAAUUCGUAGAUAUUCGCAAGAACACUAGUGGCGAAGGCGGCUCACUGGCCCGGUACUGACGCUGAGGUGCGAAAGCGUGGGGAGCAAACAGG
rnacentral:rRNA from 1 species